rnacentral:rRNA from 1 species
GCGGCGUGCCUCAGACAUGCAAGUCGAACGCGAAAGUUUCCUUCGGGAAGCGAGUAGAGUGGCGCACGGGUGAGUAACACGUAGGUAAUCUACCUUUGGAUGGGGAAUAACAACCGGAAACGGUUGCUAAUACCGCAUAAUGCAGCGGCACCUAAUGGUGACAGUUGUUAAAGCGGGGGAUCGAAAGACCUCGCGUCUGAAGAGGAGCCUGCGGCGGAUUAGCUAGUUGGUAAGGUAAUGGCUUACCAAGGCUACGAUCCGUAACCGGCCUGAGAGGGCGGUCGGUCACACUGACACUGACAUACGGGUCAGACUCCUACGGGAGGCAGCAGUCGGGAAUUUUGGGCAAUGGGCGAAAGCCUGACCCAGCAACGCCGCGUGAAGGAUGAAAUCCCUCGGGAUGUAAACUUCGCAAGAACGGGAAGAAUAAGUAGGGGACAAUACCCCCUAUGAUGACGGUACCGUUUGUAAGCUCCGGCUAACUCCGUGCCAGCAGCCGCGGUAAUACGGGGGGAGCAAGCGUUGUUCGGAUUUACUGGGCGUAAAGGGCGCGUAGGCGGCCAGCACAAGUCAGUUGUGAAAUCUCCGAGCUUAACUCGGAAAGGUCAACUGAUACUGUGCGGCUAGAGUGCAGAAGGGGCAACUGGAAUUCUUGGUGUAGCGGUGAAAUGCGUAGAUAUCAAGAGGAACACCUGCGGCGAAGGCGGGUUGCUGGGCUGACACUGACGCUGAGGCGCGAAAGCUAGGGGAGCGAACGGGAUUAGAUACCCCGGUAGUCCUAGCCUUAAACGAUGAAUGCUUGGUGUCUGGGGUUAUAAAGUCCCCGGGUGCCGUCGCUAACGCUUUAAGCAUUCCGCCUGGGGAGUACGGUCGCAAGACUGAAACUCAAAGGAAUUGACGGGGACCCGCACAAGCGGUGGAGCAUGUGGUUUAAUUCGACGCAACGCGAAGAACCUUACCUGGGCUAGAAUGCCUCUGACAACCUUAGAGAUAGGGCCUUCUGGGUAAAACCAGACAGAGUGCAAGGUGCUGCAUGGCUGUCGUCAGCUCGUGUC